rnacentral:rRNA from 1 species
CCUCAGACAUGCAAGUCGAACGCGAAAGCCCCUUCGGGGGCAAGUAGAGUGGCGCACGGGUGAGUAACACGUAGGUAAUCUACCUUUGGAUUGGGAAUAACAAUCGGAAACGGUUGCUAAUACCGAAUAAUGCAGCGGCACCUAAUGGUGACAGUUGUUAAAGCGGGGGAUCGCAAGACCUCGCGUCUAAAGAGGAGCCUGCGGCGGAUUAGCUAGUUGGUAGGGUAACGGCUUACCAAGGCGAUGAUCCGUAGCCGGCCUGAGAGGGCGGUCGGCCACACUGACACUGACAUACGGGUCAGACUCCUACGGGAGGCAGCAGUCGGGAAUUUUGGGCAAUGGGCGAAAGCCUGACCCAGCAACGCCGCGUGAAGGAUGAAAUCCCUCGGGAUGUAAACUUCGCAAGAACGGGAAGAAUAAGUAAGAGUUAAUAUCUCUUAUGAUGACGGUACUGUUUGUAAGCUCCGGCUAACUCCGUGCCAGCAGCCGCGGUAAUACGGGGGGAGCAAGCGUUGUUCGGAUUUACUGGGCGUAAAGGGCGCGUAGGCGGCCACCGCAAGUCGAUUGUGAAAUCUCCGGGCUUAACCCGGAAAGGUCAACCGAUACUGCGGGGCUAGAGUGCAGAAGGGGCAACUGGAAUUCUCGGUGUAGCGGUGAAAUGCGUAGAUAUCGAGAGGAA